rnacentral:ncRNA from 1 species
UCCGAACAGGGCAAACCCGGUGAGAGCCGGGGACGCAAAGCCACGGGUCCACCUCCCGUAGCGGUUGAGGACAGCCGGGCCGCCGGAG